GGCGGCAUAGCCAAGUGGCCAAGGCAGAGGUUUGCAAAACCUCCAUCCCCGGUUCGAAUCCGGGUGCCGCCUCCA
rnacentral:tRNA from 1 species